rnacentral:rRNA from 1 species
AGACCCGAAACCCGGUGAUCUAGCCAUGGGCAGGUUGAAGGUUGGGUAACACUAACUGGAGGACCGAACCGACUAAUGUUGAAAAAUUAGCGGAUGACCUGUGGCUGGGGGUGAAAGGCCAAUCAAACCGGGAGAUAGCUGGUUCUCCCCGAAAGCUAUUUAGGUAGCGCCUCGUGAACUCAUCUCCGGGGGUAGAGCACUGUUUCGGCUAGGGGGCCAUCCCGGCUUACCAACCCGAUGCAAACUGCGAAUACCGGAGAAUGUUAUCACGGGAGACACACGGCGGGUGCUAACGUCCGUCGUGAAGAGGGAAACAACCCAGACCGCCAGCUAAGGUCCCAAAGUCAUGGUUAAGUGGGAAACGAUGUGGGAAGGCCCAGACAGCCAGGAUGUUGGCUUAGAAGCAGCCAUCAUUUAAAGAAAGCGUAAUAGCUCACUGGUCGAGUCGGCCUGCGCGGAAGAUGUAACGGGGCUAAACCAUGCACCGAAGCUGCGGCAGCGACACUUUAGUGUUGUUGGGUAGGGGAGCGUUCUGUAAGCCGUUGAAGGUGUCCUGUGAGGGGUGCUGGAGGUAUCAGAAGUGCGAAUGCUGACAUAAGUAACGAUAAAGCGGGUGAAAAGCCCGCUCGCCGGAAGACCAAGGGUUCCUGUCCAACGUUAAUCGGGGCAGGGU